rnacentral:rRNA from 1 species
CCAAUAGCGUAUAUUAAAGUUGUUGCAGUUAAAAAGCUCGUAGUUGAAUUUCGGGAUCAGACUGUCGGUCGUGCCUCGGUACGCACUGGCAUUAUUGGUUCCUACCUUCUGAAGAACCGCGAUGUCAUUAAUUUGGUGUCGCGGGGAAUCAGGACUGUUACUUUGAAAAAAUUAGAGUGUUUAAAGCAGGCGCACGCUUGAAUACAUUAGCAUGGAAUAAUGAAAUAGGACGUUUGAUUCUAUUUUGUUGGUUUCUAGGAUCGACGUAAUGAUUAAUAGGGAUAGUUGGGGGCAUUAGUAUUCAAUUGUCAGAGGUGAAAUUCUUGGAUUUAUUGAAGACUAACUACUGCGAAAGCAUUUGCCAAGGAUGUUUUCAUUAUUCAAGAACGAAAGUUAGGGGAUCGAAGACGAUCAGAUACCGUCGUAGUCUUAACCAUAAACUAUGCCGACUAGGGAUCGGAUGAUGUUAAUUUUAUAAUGACUCAUUCGGCGCCUUACG